GACGAACGCUGGCGGCGUGCUUAACACAUGCAAGUCGAACGAUGAAGCCUAGCUUGCUAGGUGGAUUAGUGGCGAACGGGUGAGUAAUACGUGAGUAACCUACCUUUAACUCUGGGAUAAGCCUGGGAAACUGGGUCUAAUACCGGAUACGACCAAUCUCCGCAUGGGGUGUUGGUGGAAAGCGUUAUGUAGUGGUUAUAGAUGGGCUCACGGCCUAUCAGCUUGUUGGUGAGGUAACGGCUCACCAAGGCGACGACGGGUAGCCGGCCUGAGAGGGUGACCGGCCACACUGGGACUGAGACACGGCCCAGACUCCUACGGGAGGCAGCAGUGGGGAAUAUUGCACAAUGGGCGCAAGCCUGAUGCAGCGACGCCGCGUGAGGGAUGACGGCCUUCGGGUUGUAAACCUCUGUUAGCAGGGAAGAAGAGAAAUUGACGGUACCUGCAGAGAAAGCGCCGGCUAACUACGUGCCAGCAGCCGCGGUAAUACGUAAGGCGCGAGCGUUGUCCGGAAUUAUUGGGCGUAAAGAGCUUGUAGGCGGUUUGUCGCGUCUGCUGUGAAGGCCGGGGCUUAAACCCGUGUAUUGCAGUGGGUACGGGCAGACUAGAGUGCAGUAGGGGAGACUGGAAUUCCUGGUGUAGCGGUGGAAUGCGCAGAUAUCAGGAGGAACACCGAUGGCGAAGGCAGGUCUCUGGGCUGUAACUGACGCUGAGAAGCGAAAGCAUGGGGAGCGAACAGGAUUAGAUACCCUGGUAGUCCAUGCCGUAAACGUUGGGCACUAGGUGUGGGGGACAUUCCACGUUUUCCGCGCCGUAGCUAACGCAUUAAGUGCCCCGCCUGGGGAGUACGGCCGCAAGGCUAAAACUCAAAGAAAUUGACGGGGGCCCGCACAAGCGGCGGAGCAUGCGGAUUAAUUCGAUGCAACGCGAAGAACCUUACCAAGGCUUGACAUAUACUGGACCGCAUCAGAGAUGGUGUUUCCCUUCGGGGCUGGUAUACAGGUGGUGCAUGGUUGUCGUCAGCUCGUGUCGUGAGAUGUUGGGUUAAGUCCCGCAACGAGCGCAACCCUCGUUCUAUGUUGCCAGCACGUUAUGGUGGGGACUCAUAGGAGACUGCCGGGGUCAACUCGGAGGAAGGUGGGGAUGACGUCAAAUCAUCGUGCCCCUUAUGUCUUGGGCUUCACGCAUGCUACAAUGGCCGGUACAGAGGGUUGCGAUACUGUGAGGUGGAGCUAAUCCCUAAAAGCCGGUCUCAGUUCGGAUUGGGGUCUGCAACUCGACCCCAUGAAGUCGGAGUCGCUAGUAAUCGCAGAUCAGCAACGCUGCGGUGAAUACGUUCCCGGGCCU
rnacentral:rRNA from 1 species